AUAUGACCAACCUGAAAUCUCUAAAGAAAAAUAAUCACAAUUUCAACAAUUAUUGUGAAACGAUAAGUCUGUAUCGCAAACAUUUUCAUGUAACUUUAUUACAGCAAAAUAAAGAGAAAAAUUUGGACAGGUCAUUAUUAUAGAUUAUCGUGAUAGUAUUUGACU